UUAAUACUUCAAUUUGAUUUGGUAAAUUCUAAUUUGUCUUUGAUUCAAUUGGAUUUUAGAAUAAUGGGUCAUGGUCAUCCAAACAUUCCAUCAUAUUUAGCUUCAAGUCCAAACACAAGUUCCAAGUACUUGAUUACACAUAAGUCAAAUUCAAAGAUACAAGAAUACAAUCUAAAACCUUCCAAAACCUGCAUAGGCAAACAAUACGGGAAAUUGAAACCACUCUUUCUGUCAGAGCAAACCAGUUCAGUUGUCUUCCAAAUAAGAAAAACCUCCUAACCAUUUUCAUACCUACUUUCUCCUCAAUCAAGACUUCUCGGAAUUAUGGCUUAGGACCAUCAUAAAGUCG
rnacentral:lncRNA from 1 species